GGUCGUUUAGCUCAGUGGUUAGAGCGUCUGCUUUACAUCUACCUUCACAGGUGGAAGAAACCGCAGAAGGUCGCAGGUUCGACCCCUGCAACGAUCA